AUUUGAAUAACAAUGAUUGUUUGUUUCAGAAACAUGAUUCCAAUUCUACAGACGUGUUGCACAGUUUAGCGGCGGGCGCCAUCGCUGUUGCUUUAGCCAUGAGUUCAAUCGCUCCAUUAGAUAGAACUAAAAUCAUUUUUUAAGUAUCUCAAGAACCGUAUUCUGGUAGAGCUGCGUUUAAAUUUUUGGCUAAUACUUAUGCAAAAGAUGGUUUUAUAUGGUUAUGGCGAGGAAAUACAGACACCAUGA